rnacentral:rRNA from 1 species
AACGUAGGACGCAAGCGUUAUCCGGAGUUACUGGGCGUAAAGCGCAGGCAGGCGGCUCGAAACGUCUGAUGUGAAAUCUCCUCGCUCAACGGGGAGAGGCCAUUGGAAACGGUCGAGCUGGAGGGCAGUAGAGGUAGGCGGAAUUCCGGGUGGAGUGGUGAAAUGCGUAGAGAUCCGGAGGAACACCAGAGGCGAAGGCGGCCUACUGGGCUGCACCUGACGCUGAGCCGCGAAAGCCAGGGGAGCGAACGGG